rnacentral:lncRNA from 1 species
AAAAGAUCUUUACCAAUCCUACAACAGAUAGAGGCCUUAUAUCCAAAAUAUACAAAGAACUCAAGAAGUUAGACUGCAGGGAGACAAAUAACCCUAUUAAAAAUGGGGUUCAGAGCUAAACAAAGAAUUCACAGCUGAGGAAUGCCGAAUGGCUGAGAAACACCUAAAGAAAUGUUCAACAUCUUUAGUCAUAAGGGAAAUGCAAAUCAAAACAACCCUGAGAUUUCACCUCACACCAGUGAGAAUGGCUAAGAUCAAAAACUCAGGUGACAGCAGAUGCUGGCGAGGAUGUGGAGAAAGAGGAACACUCCUCCAUUGUUGGUGGGAUUGCAGACUGGUAAAACCAUUCUGGAAAUCAGUCUGGAGGUUCCUCAGAAAAUUGGACAUUGAACUGCCUGAGGAUCCAGCUAUACCUCUCUUGGGCAUAUACCCAAAAGAUGCCUCAACAUAUAAAAGAGACACGUGCUCCACUAUGUUCAUCGCAGCCUUAUUUAUAAUAGCCAGAAAAUGGAAAGAACCCAGAUGCCCUUCAACAGAGGAAUGGAUACAGAAAAUGUGGUACAUCUACACAAUGGAAUAUUACUCAGCUAUCAAAAACAACGAGUU